CAGUGAUAAUUCUUUCAUCUUCUGUUUGUCACAGAUAUUUCCAUUUCUAGGAAUCUUUUUUUUUUCCCCUUUAGUAUGCACUGCAGUGCAUGAUGCUGAUGCCUGUUGUAUGAUGUACUGUUUAUUGCAGGCCGCAGCUGUUAAAAAAAUGGUACUAUAUCCUCCCUGGAUGACAGUGAAUCAUAUAAAAUGAACCCUAAGGAAACUGUAUGAAAGAGAAAAUGAAGAACAAGUGAGGUGAUCACCAGGGCACUCAGUUGUGGACUCUCAUUAUGAGCUUGAACAAAACCUCCGAAGAAAAGUUCUCUUUUUUGUUGCAGUCAUAGCACUUUUAAAUGGAUAUAACCUCUCAACUGCCCACAGGCACUUCAGUGUACUAACAUCUCCUCUUUCCCUACACAAAGUCUUGCAUGUGUUUGAA
ensembl:lncRNA